rnacentral:misc_RNA from 1 species
UCCGAGUUGUCCCCGGCAGUCCCAUUAGAGUCCCCGACUUUACUCGCUGGCAACUAAUGGCAGGGGUUGCGCUCGUUGCGGCACUUAAGCCAACACCUCACGGCACGAGCUGACGACAGCCAUGCAGCACCUGUGCUGGCCCCUUACGGACACGGGCUUUCACCCUCCUACUACCUGCAUGUCCAGCCUGGGUAAGGUUCUUCGCGUUGCGUCGAAUUAAACCACAUGCUCCACCGCUUGUGCAGGCCCCCGUCAAUUUCUUUGAGUUUUAAUCUUGCGACCGUACUUCCCAGGCGGCAUAUUUAUCGCGUUAGCUUCGCCACAAAAGGGGUCGAUUCCUUUUACAGCAAAUAUGCACCGUUUACGGCUAGGACUAC